rnacentral:rRNA from 1 species
UACGUAGGUGGCAAGCGUUAUCCGGAUUUACUGGGUGUAAAGGGAGCGUAGACGGCAGGGCAAGUCUGGAGUGAAAGCCCGGGGCCCAACCCCGGGACUGCUUUGGAAACUGCCAUGCUAGAGUGCUGGAGAGGUAAGCGGAAUUCCUAGUGUAGCGGUGAAAUGCGUAGAUAUUAGGAGGAACACCAGUGGCGAAGGCGGCUUACUGGACAGUAACUGACGUUGAGGCUCGAAAGCGUGGGGAGCAAACA